CCACCAAGAAAGCUUAAUUCUUUUUCUGAUCGGCGACCAGUAAAGCUUGAUUCUUUAUCAAUCCCCCCUACAAAAUCUUGGCAAGAAUUCGUCUCUUCUGCUUUUUCAACACCAUCAGGUACUCCUAAAUGCAUUCUUUCCCUUGCUUGUGGUCAAUUUGGUGGUGGUGGUGGUGGUGGUGGGUCUCAAAGACAAGAUUCACCAUUACAAUCAAUCUCAAAUUCCCCUGUCUCACCAUCAUCUCCUUCCUUUGUUCCUCCAUCAUUAGGAUGCCCUUCUUCUGUUUCACCACCAUCACCAUUAUCUCCUUCCUUUGUUCCACCAUCUCCAUCUCCAUCACCAUCACUUUUAUCCCCUCCUCUUGUUUCACCUCACCGCACCGCCAAGAAAGCCUAGUCCUUUUUCAACCCCCACAAAAUCUAGGCAACGGUUAAUUUCGUCUGCUUCAUCAACACCAUUAAGUAGUCCUAGCUUUACUCUUUGUAUUCAAUGUGGUGGUGGGUCUAAAAGAAAAGGUUCCCCACUGUUAUUAUCACCAUCGUCAGGAGCAAAGGGGAAUGGAGGUGGUUCUAGUACUCCUCCCAGCGCAGCUGCUAAGAAGAGGUGGAUGAGUGUGAGAAAUGCCUUGAAACAGAUGCAGCAUAAGUGGAUGAUGGACAACAUCAGUCAACAAAACAAUGGAGCUCCGGAAAUCUCCGUAAAUGAGAAACCAAAUAUCGAUAUCAACAAUCAGGGAGUUUACGGAACUGUGCCGUCUGACAAAAAUGCAAGAGGAGUGCAGGAGGUUGUGCACGAUGAAAAUGUGAGUUUUGACAGAGAUGGAGAUACCAUGAGAGUAUGUUACAUGUGUUGCUGUGGGAGACAAAAGCAAAUCUUC